rnacentral:lncRNA from 10 species
CUGGGGAAUGUAAGUCCGACCCUGGGAUUUAUAACAAACUACCACAGAAGGAGGACUCCUGGGCUCCCAGUCAGGCCUCAAACAGGCAUCACAAAACGAUAAAGCUAUUUGCUUCUGAAUCCAACCCUCCCAAGCCAGUUCCUCCUUCACCUGCCCUGGAUGGAAGGGCAGCAAUUUCCCUUCAAGAUGCUGAGGGUAUGAAAGCUUUGUUCGCAAGCUGGGGUAUGAACACCUCCUUUUUAAGAAUAAACGUUAAGACCAAGCACACACUUUUCAGAGCUGCUAACGCCCACAUUUUGUGUCUAGCUUUGGGUUUCCAAGACCCAAUGUGAAAUGCAGUGCUUUCUCUACCUUUAAAGAAGAAAAUGGGAAAGAGAGGUGGGUUUUGGGGUUCUUAUUUUGCAAACCCCCUGGAGACAAUGCAAAAACUCCUCCUCUGCAGCAGCAGGUAAACACCUGAGCUGGGAAGGAAAGCUACCUGGUAGUCCCAAUGAAUGCCAGCAAGACAAGGGCAGGGAAGAGGCGGGGCAGCUUCUCUGUCAGCUGAAGGCUUACUUUUGUUUGAACAAUGUCCCAACCUCAGGAGGGAGGGACAAAACCAAGAAUGGUGUGAUUUCCCCUGGGGGCCACUGCUAAAAUGAAGUUGGGCAUCGUGUGGGGCUGGAAGCUGUGGCUGCAGGAAGCCAGGGGUGAUGGCCUUCCUGCAGCCGUCUCUCGAGCCCCGAACUUGCGGGAAGAAAGGACUGCCCCCUUCCAACCCGUUCGGGUUGGUUUGCGCUGGAACGCCACGCUUUUCAAAGUGUCUGAGUGAUAGGUACUUUCUAAAUAUGUACAGCGAUGGCCUGAUAAGCAACUAAGCGUCUGGCUUCGCGGGUUCAUGCCCGAGGCUGUGCGGUCGGGGGAGGCUGGGGGCUCAGCCGAAACCUCAGCUCCUCCUUACAGGCCUGGUUUGGAAACGGGCUGUACACUGCUGGGGGCCCCACUUUCCAAUGUUUACUUCUGAGAUUGGAAGAAGAAGACAAGAAACACCUCCUCACCCCCUACCCUCUGCCUCCACGCCCGCGACUCAGCCCAGGUGACCCAAACGGCAGAGUCAACUUGGCGCAACCGGAGCGUCCCCAUCGCGCCGGCCACCCCCAGCCCCCUUCGCCCCUCGCUUGGCCCCACAAUGCGCCGUUGUGCCGCGCCUGCCGUCAGGCCGGGGAUUUGGAGCAGGGAUGGGGGGAAUAUUCGUCAGAUAUUUAAAACAGAGCCGAGAGAACAAAGCAGGCCUUUGUGCAGCAGGGCGGCCCGGGAGCUGGGAGCCGCCGGCCCCCAAGCACUGUGCUGGGCCAGGAGAGUGCGCAUGCGCGCGGCGACCUGUGCGCUCGGGUUCUGUGCCGGCUUUUACCCCAGCUGAAUAACCUGGUGGUCACAAGAAAGCAAAGGGAUUUUUAUGUGACAUCAUCUUGGCAAGAAGCUCCCUUACCAACCUUGACCUCCAGGUCUCCAUGGCAACUGCUGCUGGGACAUCAUUGGCACCAGAUUGUGUCCCUUAAAGGCCACACUGCAGCAAGGGCAGAUAAACAAUUUCAUGGCAACAGUCACGUAGCAAUCUCAUUCUUAAAUGUGGGCUGGUUAGUUAGGAUGAUGUAAGUGGUUUUUUCCACUCUCUUCCGCAUUCUGACUCCAGAAUUCUGGGCCUAGGACAUAGUCAAAGAAUGUACCUUGGGGUAUGAGGUAAGAAAACAGGCUGGGGUGGGACUUGAAGAAGUACCUUCUUCUAGACACAGGGACAGAUUCUUUUUCCUUUCCCAGUUGAGAGUUCAUUUUCUGUCUCGGUUCAACAAAGGCAUGUUAUCUUUAUAUAAAGGAAGCUGUAAUAGACAGUCUCCAAGAUGGCAGCCUUUAGUUCUUUCCCUCCUCAGAUUCAUGAGCUGCUUCUCACCUCUUAAAUCUGGUCUACCUAUAGUGACUUGCUUGACCAACAGAAUAUGCUAGGAGCAACAUUCUGGAACUUCCAAGGCUUGGUUGUAAGAAGCUUUGCAAUAUCUGCCUGGAUCUCUUAGAACCUUCAAUAUGGGACACUUGCUCUAGAAAUCAGCCACCAUCCUGUGAGAAGUCCAAGCCACAGAGUGAGGCCAGAAAUAGUUGCUGCAGUCAAGAGCCCCAGCUGAGCUCUCAGCCAACAUUCAGCAUCACUGCCAGCCAUGUGAGUGAGUGAUGGUGACCUUGGAUGUCCAGCUCAGUAGAACCUUCAGAUGAUUUCAGCCCUAGCCGUUCCAACUGCAAGACAUCCUGAGUGAGCUGAGCCCAGUCAACAGAGAUGUGAGAGAUAAAAAUGCAUUGUUUUGAGACACUAAGUUUUAGAGUGUCUGUUGUGUAGCAGUAGGUAGUUCAAGAGGAAUGAAAUGCUAGAUGGGGUAUGGAAGAUAGGAGAGGACCUCCUGAUAGCUCAGCUACUUUGAAAGGCUUUAUUUAUCAGGAUUUUUUGCCCCUGCAUCCCACCAACACCAUCCCUGCUUUCUGAGCUGUGCCUGGCACACUGCACCACACAAACCUUGCACUGCUCACUAACUGUGCCAUGUAUAUAAGCCUCCUCAGCCCGAUGGUGGACACCUUGAAGAUAGGGACCUAUAUGAUUUGAUUCCUACCCUCCUUAGCACUGACAGAUUUGUCAAGCUGUUCCAGUGGAUAAAUACGGGGGAUAACUGCUGGAACAGCAUCUUGAGGUGUUUAUAUGGCUUGGCUUCUGAUCUUUGACAUUUGAUAACUGAUGAACAUGCUAUUUGGGCCCACCCAGGAGCCAGCCACACCAUGGGGGAGUCUGAACCUCACCCACACUGUGGCCACUCAGGGGAAGGAGACCAGGGCCAAGAACGCAGUUGCUAACCUCCUGCUUAGAUUUGCUUCUUGCGGGGCAGCCCUGGAAACCCAAAGAAGAGCUAAAACUGUGUGGAUGAGAGAAAACCUUCAGAACCCAUUCAUAGAGAUACCAGGAGCAGCUGAGAACCCAUUGUAGGAAGGACACAUGUUCAAGACCUCCCCCAUCUGCCCAUCUAGGGACAUGGAUGUUUAACAUGCUAGGGUCAGAAGUGGGAACAUAGGUCAGCUUGAGUAGAACCUGGUGCCUGUGCAGGAACCCUGCCUUCUGUGGGCCCAGCUACUCGGGAGGCCAAAGAGGGAGGAUGGCUUGGGUCUGGGAGGUCGAGGCUGCAGUGAGCUAUGUUUGCACCACUGCACUACAGCCUGGGCAACAGAGUGAGACCCUGUUUCAUAAAAAAUAAAUAAAAAUAGAAAGCCUGGCGAGCCCAGUGUCUACUCAGAGCUUAGGAGAGAGGGAGGAGAAAAGCAGGAUGAGGGCAGCUUGGGAGGCGGUCCUUCAUUCUGCCAAUAAACAUUAUUUUGUGAAUCAGGCCUGGCUUGAGGCACAGCGUAUGCAGAAAAGUUCAAGGGAGACAGAGUCCCUGCUCUCAGGUAAAAUGCCUGGAGGAGUUGUAGCUCCGAUACACAUCUCACGACAUGGGCAGAGCUUGGCUGACCAUGGGUGUAGGGGAGCUAUGGCCUUCCCUCCUCAUUAUAUCCCAGUCUUCCAACUUUGUGAAAGACCUGGAAUUCCCAUGCUAUAAGGUGGUAUGAGUGUGGGCACUAGGGCUGGGACUAGUCCAGGUCCCAGCUCCACCACUUAUUGGCUGUGUGACCUCGUGCAAGCUACUUAAACUCUCUGAACCUUUAGCAUCUUAUCAGUAAAAAUAAGAACAGUAACAGUUCUUCAUCUCAGGGUUGUCUGAGGAUUUCAUAAGAUCCUCCUGGCAAAGUGACCCCUUAGCUCCAUGUGUGGCACCUGCAGGCGCUUCGGAACCACCGGCUCCUAUCCUAUGUACUCCCACGAGGCAUGGGAGGGCUCUGGAUAUGAAAUUAUCUGCAAGGUCCAAGUAACUUUUGCUUAGAAAAAACAAAAGGGAUGAUGAGGGAAGAAGUCUCACUUAGGAACGAAAUUGCCUGGGGCCCUGUUUCCUGAGAGGAUCGCGCAGGAGUCAUAUGACAUUGGUCUGACUUUCCUGAACUGCCCACGCAUGCGCUGAGUUUCAACAGCACCGAGAACCUAGGCUUCUCUUCCUGAAACUUAGGAGAAGCUUGGGCUUCCCUCUGGCCAGUCCAGAGGUGGUUCCCAGGUAAUUGCCUGGUCCAAGAGCCACAGAGGAUUUGGAAUUAUGAGGGUAGGGAACUGCGGUUAGGGGGAUCCCAGAGUCUCAGGAAGCAUUUCAGUUCCAUCCCUUGACCCCACUUCAUGCUCUGGCAUAUCGAGGGCCCGGAAGUGCUAGGAGAGCUGUGAUUGGCAGGCCUCACUCCCUGCCCACCUUCCCUCUUAGCUUCCCCAGAACCAUAGCCCCCUUUAGACUGGGCAUAUGGGCAGAUAACAAAGGAUAUCAUGCUGGGGACGUAUUUCUGAGAGGGGGUGACUGCCCUUGCCCCUAAGUAUGAGUUGCCUUUUCCAAAUAUCCCCACAAUGUAAAGUGAUCGGCAAAGGGGACCACAGCCCUUGGUUCUACACCCAUCAAACAUGUGCUGAAAUCAGAUUCUUUUCUAAGCAACACAUCCAUAUUAUGCCACCAUUCAGACGAAACCAAGAGCUAAUCAUCCUGAGUAUGAGAUGUGUUCUCUGGUGAGAUGCCUGGACCUCCACAGGGGAGGUUGUUCUCUUGAGAAAAUGCCGACUUCCCCUCGUCUUUCAGAGGCCCCCUUCCUGACCAAAAGGCUCAAGGUGCGUGUUGGAGAGGGAAGGGAAAGAAGAUGCUUGUUGCUGUUCAUUACGGACAGGUUCCCCAAGAGUGACACCGUACUGUGGGUAUGUUUUGAGUUCUGGGAGAGUUUCAGGGCAUUUUAUAGCUGGGCCAACUUUCCCUGGGACUGAGAAGUAGGGCUUGGAAAUUAAGGCAGUCCUGGGGGAGGGAACAGCUGGUCAGUCUGCCCAUAAUCCUGCCCAGAAACCUGACAGCAAACAGCCCUGGAUUUGCUCAUUUGAAUGCUUUAGGGGAAUUUCCAAGAACCCUUCACCCUCUUAUGAGAAAAAGAAGGUAGGUCCGUGGUGCUAUUCUCCCCUUGCCUCCCGUGAGCUUGGGUCUGUGGUUAGGACAUCUGGGCACAGGAAGUAUUAACCUGUCUCCGCUUUCAGAUCUGAAUCCAGU